UACGGAGGGUGCAAGCGUUAUCCGGAUUCACUGGGUUUAAAGGGUGCGUAGGUGGGUUGGUAGGUCAGUGGUGAAAUCUCCGAGCUUAACUUGGAAACUGCCAUUGAUACUAUCAGUCUUGAAUAUUGUGGAGGUCAGCGGAAUAUGUCAUGUAGCGGUGAAAUGCUUAGAUAUGACAUAGAACACCAAUUGCGAAGGCAGCUGGCUACUCAUAUAUUGACACUGAGGCACGAAAGCGUGGGGAUCAAACAGG
rnacentral:rRNA from 1 species